rnacentral:rRNA from 1 species
GGGAAUCUUGCACAAUGGGGGCAACCCUGAUGCAGCGACGCCGCGUGAGCGAUGAAGCCCUUCGGGGCGUAAAGCUCUUUCGACCGGAACGAUAAUGACGGUACCGGGAGAAGAAGCUGCGGCUAACUACGUGCCAGCAGCCGCGGUAAUACGUAGGCAGCAAGCGUUGUUCGGAGUUACUGGGCGUAAAGAGUGCGUAGGCGGUUUUCUAAGUUCGGUGUGAAAUCUCCCGGCUUAACUGGGAGGGUGCGCCGAAGACUGGGAAGCUGGAGUGUGGGAAAGGCAGGCGGAAUUCCUGGUGUAGCGGUGAAAGGCGUAGAUAUCAGGGGGAACACCGGCGGUGUAGACGGCUUGCUAGACCAUAACUGACGCUGAGGCACGAAAGCGUGGGUAGCAAACA